GAAGAAGCUCAAAAAUGCCCAAUAAUAAGAAACCAAAGACAUGUAACAAUACAUACCUUUUCAGAACAGAUUGGGUGUCGACGCUCUUAGCGACAGGGGCAGGUUGCUUUGAGGUCACCAUGGUAGGUGUGGGCACGGGUGUGUUGCCUUGGUAACCCUGAGUCUCCGAGUAAUUAUUAACCGUAGCCAUUCUUGAAUUUGAGAGAGAGAAAAAGAGAGAGAGAGAGCAGAGAUCGAAGAGAGCGAGAGAUUCAAAAUUGAGAGACAAGAAAGA